UACGGGGGGGGCAAGCGUUGUUCGGAAUUACUGGGCGUAAAGGGCUCGUAGGUGGCCAACUAAGUCAUACGUGAAAUCCCUCAGCUUAACUGGGGAACUGCGCCUGAUACUGGUUGGCUUGAGUUUGGGAGAGGGACGCGGAAUUCCAGGUGUAGCGGUGAAAUGCGUAGAUAUCUGGAGGAACACCGGUGGCGAAGGCGGCGUCCUGGACCAAUACUAACACUGAGGAGCGAAAGCCAGGGGAGCAAACGGG
rnacentral:rRNA from 1 species